GACGAACGCUGGCGGCGUGCUUAACACAUGCAAGUCGAACGAUGAACCGAGAGCUUGCUCUUGGGGAUUAGUGGCGAACGGGUGAGUAACACGUGAGUAACCUGCCCUGGACUCUGGGAUAACCCCGAGAAAUCGGAGCUAAUACCGGAUAGGACCUUGCACCGCAUGGUGUGGGGUGGAAAGUUUUUUCGGUUUGGGAUGGACUCGCGGCCUAUCAGCUUGUUGGUGAGGUAAUGGCUCACCAAGGCGUCGACGGGUAGCCGGCCUGAGAGGGUGACCGGCCACACUGGGACUGAGACACGGCCCAGACUCCUACGGGAGGCAGCAGUGGGGAAUAUUGCAGAAUGGGCGCAAGCCUGAUGCAGCAACGCCGCGUGCGGGAUGACGGCCUUCGGGUUGUAAACCGCUUUUAGUAAGGAAGAAGGGGAGCUUGCUCCUUGACGGUACUUGCAGAAAAAGGACCGGCUAACUACGUGCCAGCAGCCGCAGUAAAAC
rnacentral:rRNA from 1 species